GAAGCAGAAUCUAUAUGGACUGAUAAAUUCGGUUUUCAAAAGAUAGAACCUGACCAGAUUAGCAAUUACAGAAAAAGUUGUUGUCAGAUGGUGACCUUCAAAGGGACUUCUAUGCUGCAGAGAAUGGUUCCUGCUUGUAGAAUUGUUAAUCAAAAUGCUGGGUCUGUAGGAGUAUUGUAAAGAAGUGAUCUAUGAUGCAAUAUUCAUCUGCCGGAUCAUCAUUUUACCGGACUGUCAACCCAGAUUUUCCUGAGAAAGUGCGUUGAUUGCGAAAGCUCUUACUAUACCAAAUUGAACAUUAUAGUUCCUAUAUUUUAGAAGUAACUUUAGGUGGAGGUUAUAAUUUUGUUCAACUGCUGUGAUAAUCCUUUGUUUUGUGUUCGAAAUCUCUGGGGUUAAACAAGUAUUCGACCAAUGGAAUAUAGG
rnacentral:misc_RNA from 1 species